rnacentral:rRNA from 1 species
AACGAACGCUGGCGGCAGGCCUAACACAUGCAAGUCGAACGCUCCGCAAGGGGAGUGGCGCACGGGUGAGUAACACGUGGGAACCUACCUUCUGGUACGGAACAACCAAGGGAAACUUUGGCUAAGACCGUAUACGACCUCCGGGUGAAAGAUUGAUCGCCGGAAGAGGGGCCCGCGUCCGAUUAGGUAGUUGGUGAGGUAACGACUCACCAAGCCUUCGAUCGGUAGCUGGUCUGAGAGGAUGACCAGCCACACUGGGACUGAGACACGGCCCAGACUCCUACGGGAGGCAGCAGUGGGGAAUAUUGGACAAUGGGCGCAAGCCUGAUCCAGCCAUGCCGCGUGAGUGAUGAAGGCCUU